rnacentral:rRNA from 1 species
UAAGGAAUAUUGGACAAUGGGCGGAAGCCUGAUCCAGCCAUGCCGCGUGAAGGACGAAGGCGCUCAGCGUUGUAAACUUCUUUUGGACGGGGACAAACCGCUCGACGCGUCGGGCGCUGAGGGUACCGUCAGAAUAAGCACCGGCUAACUCCGUGCCAGCAGCCGCGGUAAUACGGAGGGUGCGAGCGUUAUCCGGAAUCACUGGGUUUAAAGGGUGCGUAGGCGGCGAGAUAAGUCAGUUGUGAAAUUCCCCGGCUCAACCGGCGGGACUGCGAUUGAUACUGUUUUGCUUGAAUCGGGUUGAGGCAGGCGGAAUGUGGCAUGUAGCGGUGAAAUGCUUAGAUAUGCCAUAGAACACCGAUUGCGAAGGCAGCUUGCUGGGCCUUGAUUGACGCUGAGGCACGAAAGCGUGGGGAGCAAACAGG